rnacentral:rRNA from 1 species
CCUACGGGAGGCAGCAGUGGGGAAUAUUGCGCAAUGGGGGCAACCCUGACGCAGCAACGCCGCGUGAUUGAAGACGGCCUUCGGGUUGUAAAGAUCUUUAAUCGGGGACGAAUUUUGACGGUACCCGAAGAAUAAGCUCCGGCUAACUACGUGCCAGCAGCCGCGGUAAUACGUAGGGAGCAAGCGUUAUCCGGAUUUACUGGGUGUAAAGGGCGUGUAGGCGGGCAUGCAAGCCAGAAGUGAAAUCUGGGGGCUUAACCCCCAAACUGCUUUUGGAACUGCGGGUCUUGAGUGAUGGAGAGGCAGGCGGAAUUCCCAGUGUAGCGGUGAAAUGCGUAGAUAUAAGGAAGAACACCAGUGGCGAAGGCGGAUGACUGGACGGCAACUGACGGUGAGGCGCGAAAGCGUGGGGAGCAAACAGGAUUAGAUACCCCAGUAGUC